AGUCAUGAUGGCUAUUCCUCUAGAAAUAGUGAUUGUGAUUAGCGAGGCGCUCGUGUUGCAGCACGGGCGUCUUGCGAA
rnacentral:antisense_RNA from 1 species